UCAUUUAGGCUUCUGAAUCAACUUGAUUAGCUGAACAACUCUGUUCUUAAUUUUUCAGAUUUGCUCAGGGUGUCUCUGGAGUAGGGAAGAUGAUAUUGCGCUGGUGGGGGAAUUGUUGGCGGAGAGGGAGGUUCGGGUUAUGGAGGAAGCUCAGGCAGGAGAGGCUCCAUGUCUGGAGGAGGAGGAAGCUCAGGUCACGGAGGAUCCAGUUAUGGCAGCGGUGGGUGCAUUGGUGGAGGAGAAGGGGGUUCAGGAUAUGGAGGAAGCUCCAGCAGGAGAGGAUCCAUGUCUGGAGGCGGUCACAGCUCCGGUGGAUAUGGAUCUGGCAGUGGCAGGUGCAGCCCCCACAGCAGUGGGAUCAGCUCUGGAGGUUGGAGCAGUUCUGGCAGGAGAGGCUCCAUGUCUGGAGGAGGAGGAGGAAGCUCAGGUCACGGAGGAUCCAGUUAUGGCAGUGGUGGGUGUGUUGGUGGAGGAGAAGGAGGCUCAGGGUACGGAGGGAGCUCAGGGUAUGGAGGUGGCUCUGGCAGGAGAGGCUCCAUCUCUGGAGGUGGCCACAGCUCUGGUGGUGGUGGGAGCAGUUCUGGAGGAGGAAUCAGCUCAGGGUAUGGAGGAAGUGGAGGACUGAGCUCUGCUGGGGGCAUUGGUGGAGGAGAAGGGGGUUCAGGGUAUGGAGGAGGGUCAGGGUACGGAGGAAGCUCCAGCAGGAGAGGAUCCAUGUCUGGAGGCGGUCACAGCUCCGGUGGAUAUGGCUCUGGCAGUGGCAGGUGCAGCCCCCACAGCGGUGGGAUGAGCUCUGGAGGUUGGAGCAGUUCUGGCAGGAGAGGCUCCAUGUCUGGAGGAGGAGGACCCCCCCCCCCCCCCCCCCCCCCCCCCCCCCCCCCCCCCCCCCCCCCCCCCCCCCCCCCCCCCC
rnacentral:lncRNA from 12 species